rnacentral:rRNA from 1 species
AAGUAGGCCCUGUUCCAUGAAUAUUAAAUAACCGCAGUAUUUAACUGUGCGAAGGUAGCAUAAUAAUUUUUUCUUUAAUUGAGAGGUUGGAUGAAAGGGUUAACAAAAUACUAACUGUGUCGAUGUAAUAUAAUAAUUUCGUGGAAAAGUUAAAAUACUUUUUUGUAUUAAAGGGACGACAAGACCCUAGAAGCUUUUGAAUGAAUAUUAUUUUUUAACUGGGGUGGUUUAUAUUAAAAACAAUAUUAUUGUAACAUUUUGAAUGGAUUAUAUAACCUUGAAUUAAAUAUGAGUUAAAGCUACUCUAGGGAUAACAGCGUAAUUAAGUUUGAGAGUUCAUAUCAAAGAUUUUAGUUGCGACCUCGAUGUUGAAUUAAAUAUAUUAUUCGGAGCAGAAGAUGAAUAGAGUGAGUUUGUUCAACUCUUAAAUGUUUACAUGAUCUGAGUUCAAACCGGA